CAUUUUCCAUUUUAAAAAUGUUAUAAUUUCAUAUACCUAGAGCAGUGUUUCCCAACCUUUUUACUACCACGGACCAUUUCGAUAAUUUUUAAUAGGUCGCGGACCACCUCAAUUGAUGGGCUCCUUGUAACAACUAGAUAAGUUCACUUUUUAAAAUUGUUCAGGAGAAACAAAAUUGUAAGUAAUAAUUAUUUUGAUAAUAAUGGAAACAAUUUAUCUUUCACUAAUAAUGUUU